GUGAAUCAUCAAAUUUUUGAACGCAAAUUGCGCUUCCUGGUAUCCCGGGAAGUAUGCCUGUUUGAGGGUCAGUUUUAACAAAAAAUCGGUUUGGUUGUAAAAUGUGAUGUUUCCGGAGACUGGGCGAAUCUUAACUUUUUCGGUUAAGGGGCUUAAAAUUGUCCUUUUUUGCGCAUUUUUAGACGUACAUAAAUUUUUUUUUUUAUUCUUCUAUUCUUAUUGCCAAAAUCUUAUAAGCUGCGAUCACAUC
rnacentral:misc_RNA from 1 species